rnacentral:tRNA from 1 species
GCGCCCUUAGCUCAGCUGGAUAGAGCACCUGCCUUCUAAGCAGGUGGUCACAGGUUCGAAUCCUGUAGGGUGCGCCA